CACGCAAACAAUAAGGAAGAGGAAGAACAAAGCAACCAUGUCUGUUUUAAGGAGAUCUCUUAUUAUGGGUUUAAUAAGGUUUGCAUUUGUUGUUUUCAUCAUGGUUUCAUCAUUGGCAUCAAGAGGAGAGUGCGCUCGAGCAAUCAAGGAAAGCAGAGAUUUCAAGAGCUUGUACGAAAACGAGUUUCCUAGAGGGCCCGUGCCGCCUUCUGGGCCAUCCCCAUGCCAUAACAGCCUCGGCCCUUAUCAGCACAACCAGCUCUCUAACCCUCAGAGCUACAUCAUUUGUCCAUGAACAUUUAUUUACCCACCCAAUUUUUAUUUGUUUAUUUAUUUUAGUUUUGAUUUACUUUGCCAUUUCUUUGCUCACACAAAUGUAUAUAUUAUACCAUUUGUUUGUUAGAGCUUGGUUAAAGCUUAAUGUCACUACCAAAGAAGUAGGUGGUGAGAUAUGAGAAUGUUCAAAUUUUGAAUUA